GUCAGUCAUCAUUUUUAUUAUUCAAACUGUACCUUAAGUUGAGCAUGACAACGCACAGUUUAUUGAAACACUUUGUCAGUCAGUAGGCUGUUUUUAAAUGGGCAUAUCUACUGUAGUCUAUACCUCUCAUCGCUGCCCAGAGAUCUCCUCUUGCAGCCACCUUGGCUCAUGAUAUUAGACCUGAUGCUUGGCUUACUUUAUACAUACUUUAUAUGUACACGGUGGCCACAUACACUGAGUGUACGAAACAUUAGGAACACCUGUUUCAAUUAGUCAAGGGCUUGGUGAUUAGUUGACAAAUUGAAUCAGGUGUGCCAUUUUAGGGCCACAACACGUACACUGAGUGUACAAAACAUUAGGCGCAGCUUCUUAAAAUUGAGUUUCACCCCCUUUUGCCCUCAGGACAGCCUCAAUUUUUCAGGGCAUGGACUCUACAAGGUGUCAAGCUUUCCUCAUGGAUGCUGGCCCCAUGUUGACUCCAAUUCUUCCCACAGUUGUGUCAAGUUGACUAGAUGUCCUUUUGGUGGUGGACCAUUCUUGAUACACAUGGGAAACUGUUGAGCAUGAAAAACCCAGCAGCGUUACAGUUCUUGACACACUCAAACUUGCACCUGGCACCUACUACCAUACCCUGUUCAAAGGAGCCUAGAGACCAUCUUUGAGGAGCCCAAGGAGAAGAACGGUUCGCUGGUCUGCAUCGGCCACCAGAAGAGGAAGCGCGUGCUGGACUUCCAAGACUUCACACUGCCGCGCAAACGAAAAGCCAGAGCCAACCUGCUGCCCCUGCGCGUGAAGGGCCCCAGGGGCCGGGGCCGGAGGGGGAGGCCCGACGAUUCCGACCUGGACAUUAUGCUCAUCGAGAGGCUGAGCGAGCUGGAGGACUUCUUCACCUGCCAAGGCCUGGAGGACUGAGCAGUCCCUCAAUACCCCCUCCUUCACAGCCAAAUGCACAGUCUGUGUCCCAAAUGGCACCCUGUUCAGCAUAUAGUGCUCUACUUUUGACCCAAGCCCACCGGGACAAACAUAGUAUAAUUUGUGACAUGCUACACAUGCAUUGCACACAGUUCCUCAUUCUCAGUUUUUUAAAGUUUUGUUAGGUGUACUUGAAAUACCCAGCCAUUCACAUUAUUGCUUUAUAACUGCUAGCAUUUGAAGAGCUAGAAAAGAGCAAAGGCAAGCCGCGCCACUGGCCAGCCCAGGCGCAUUUGUUAUUGUUUUGAGGAAAUGAGCAUUCGGCAUCAUUUAAAAUUAAAUAUAUUUGAACAUACUGUGCUGUUCUACUGCGCAUACAGUGAUGUCCGGGGGGGGCAGUGUUCGUUGUUUGAAGUAUAGUAUUGUAAUAUCGCAAACGGACAUUGCAGCUUCACCGCUAUGGAUUCCAGCUUUAAUGCAUGCCUUAGUGGAAGUUUAACCUCAAUCCCUCAAUCCAGCAAAGAUAUGAUUUUGUUGAUAGACGAUGAAUAGUGGUUGAACAAUAACUGUCUUCUUAGGAACUAAUAAUUGAAACGGAGAAUGUGGAACACUGAUACCUAAAUGUGUGCGUUCGUUCACACACAUGCACACACAUGAAACUUUUGCAUAUGAACACUGUAGACUACACAAGCACAUGGAUAACAAGUUCACCAACCCAUACCUGAGCACUUUCCUUCUUACCUUAUUCAGACCAUGUGACCUGUACUGGGAAAAACUCUGGGUUAUAGAUAAGACCCAGAAUCUUUGUUGGUUAGGAAAAACUCUUGUCUUUAACCAUUUUCCGUUGGAUGGGGGUGUUUGAGGAGUUCAAGUUAUGUGCACUGAGUGGUCCGUGCUUCGAGUGCAGUGAGAGUGUGGGCUGUGUGCCUGUAGUUAUUUCCCUAAUUCCUAUUGCUGCUAUACCCCCUACCUAGUACAUUGCUAAAUUAUAUUAUAGAUGUUAUCUUAAAGUUCAGAACAUACGUUUUAUUUUUUAAACCACGUGAUCCAUAGUCAUAUUCGGUGCAUUGGGAAAGUAUUCAGACCCCUUCCCUUUUUCAAUAUUUUGUUACGUUACAACCUUAUUUUAAAAUGUAUUAAAUGUUUUUCAUCACACAUCUACACACAAUACCCCAUAAUGACACAGAAAAAAACAGGUUUUUAGACAUUUUUGGCAAAGUUAUAAAAUAAACUGCCUUAGAUUGGAAGACUUAACCUGGUUGCCAGAUCUGUUUAUACUUCUAGCGUUGUCAAACCAAACAGUCUGGCCUUAGUGCAAUCUCAUUUUCACAUUGCAUAAUGACUGUCAAGAUACGUUUAUGCUUUAGCAAUAUCCUUAUCUGGGAACCAGGCUGUAACUAUUUUUUUGUAGUGUUUGCGUACCACUUUUUGCAUUUUGUUAUGUCAGCAUUUGUUAUGAAACACUAAUUUCAGGUGAAUCAUUUGAGUUUUUGAACUGUGGUCAGUCAUCAUUACAUAUCAGACAGGUCUUGGUGCGUAUUGAAGUGGAAACGUUCAGCUCCGCAGCCACACACAUUGACAUAAUCCUCUCUUGAAUUGUUCAGCACAAAAUGAAAGUGUCAUUAUCUGACAGUGAUCUAAUGGGGUUUGUAUUUAACGGCCAAAUAAUACUGUUCAUACUUUUCUUAUGUUUUUUUAAUUCAUUUUCUUUUGUAUGGUUACUUUCUAAGAGAGCCCUCAUGUGGAUUGCAAUCAUUGUUUGUAUACUUUUCUGCUUCCCUGGACCUAUUUGCCAGUAGCUUUUCUUGUGUGGCAGAAGUCUUCACUUAUUGACGCCCCCCCCCCCCCCAAAAAGAGCCAGAGGCAGACCAUGUGAAGUGUUCUAUUGCACAUUCUCUCCUGUCCUCUGACCUCUUUAGGCCAGAGACUGAAUUGUAGAAACAAGUUCUUUUAAUUUAGCUGUAGCAGAGGAUUAUUUGUGUUUACACUGGUGUGCAGUGUAAGAAGAGACACACUUUGGGAUCCCAUAUGUCUGUGAAAAUAUGAAUUUUAUAUUGUGUUUUUCAUUAAAUCCCUCGUAUUCCUUAUUUCAUCCUCUGUUAAAAGGGAUGGGUGCUUACUGCGGAAAUGUAUCUCAGACUGAAGGUUAGUAUUGUCAAUUAUUGUAAUAUAUUUUUAUGAAUAAAAUGGUAUUGAAAUGUGUCGUUUCUUAGUUGGUUUAAUGUGCUUAGAACUGAUUUAUUUGUUUGGCUGAAACCAUUGCUCCGUUUGAGAAAUCUAGAAGUGAGACCAUUUCAUCAUGUAUUGUAAGCAGUUUAUGGACAAGGUAUGACAGAAAUCCAUGCUUUACCUUGCUGCUGUUGUGGGACAAAUCCAAUGAAAAUCAGUGGUCAUAUUAAUCAUAUUAGCAUUUUCACAC
rnacentral:lncRNA from 1 species